rnacentral:rRNA from 1 species
GACGAACGCUGGCGGCGUGCCUAAUACAUGCAAGUCGAACGAAGCUGUUUUAACUGGUGCUUGCACCGACUUAAACAACUGAGUGGCGAACGGGUGAGUAACACGUGGGUAACCUGCCCCAAAGCGGGGGAUAACAUUUGGAAACAGAUGCUAAUACCGCAUAAUCACAGAAACCACAUGGUUUCUGUGUCAAAGAUGGUUUCGGCUAUCACUUUGGGAUGGACCCGCGGCGUAUUAGCUAGUUGGUAAGGUAAUGGCUUACCAAGGCAAUGAGACGUAGCCGACCUGAGAGGGUGAUCGGCCACAUUGGGACUGAGACACGGCCCAAACUCCUACGGGAGGCAGCAGUAGGGAAUCUUCGGCAAUGGACGAAAGUCUGACCGAGCAACGCCGCGUGAGUGAAGAAGGUUUUCGGAUCGUAAAGCUCUGUUGUUGAAAAAGAACGUUGAUGAGAGUGGAAAGUUCAUCAAGUGACGGAAAACAACCAGAAAGGGACGGCUAACUACGUGCCAGCCGCCGCCGUAA